rnacentral:lncRNA from 1 species
CUGGAUUAGACUCUGGACUCUGUCAUUUGUGAACUUGGACAAAUGACCUAACUUCUCUGGGACUCAAUUUCUUCAUCUUCGAAGGAGGAAUCUUUAAAAAGGGUAUCUCUGCCAGUGAAUUGCUUAGCAUAGUGCCUGGCACAUAGUAAAUCUUCACAAAAUAAUAGCUAUUAUCAUUGUUAUUAAUAUUUCUGAUGGCUUUUCAGUUCUCCUAAGGCCUGGCUUUACUUAGUUCCCUUUCCCAAGAGCCCAUUGUCUGUGUCUUUAUCCUCACCCUCCCUUCCCUUGAGGGAGUCUUGAAGGGCAUGCGCAGGCUGGCGUCCAGUGCAGUGAAAACCAGCUCUACCCUUUAAGACGAGCUCUUGAGAGGUUGGUUUGAGUCAUGUGCAAGAUUUGUUCUUCAUACAGUCACAACAAAAGGAAGAUAUAAAUAAUUCGUACUCCCACCAUGUUGUUUCCUUCUUUCAUCCUCAGGCCCUAUAAGUGUACAUCUGGGUCAUGCUCUAUGAAGAGACUGUUGUUAUCAAUGAGUUCGAUGCAUAUAUUUGUUAGCACUGACAGAUUCAGACACAGAUAUUUUCCACCUCCAAUGUUCAGAUCUGGUGUAGCUGCUGGGAGCCCUGGGCUGGAUAUGUACCCAGGUGACUCAUGGGGAAGGAUGCACCCUUCUGAGAAGCAUCACCUUUCUCAAGAAGCAUGACAGAGCUCCCGAUAUUAGACUUUCAAGACGUCUACCAGGCCUUCUUUGGAAUAAAUUGUGUCAUUGAAUGGGUGAGUCUAUGUGCAUGGAACAGGUUGGACUUCUCCAGAAGUGUCAGUGGCAACUGUUUAGAAGUGUGAUGGAUACUAAGAAAAGAAGCAGUGUGUUCCAUAGCCUCCACGUUAAGUAGUUGAGAAUCUUACUCACCUCUUCAAUGGGCUGUACCUGUGUAGGACUUAGCAUAGACAAGGACUUCUGUCAGGGGAAUCCGUGAAGUGCC